rnacentral:rRNA from 1 species
AGGAUUCCCCUAGUAACUGCGAGUGAAGCGGGAAAAGCUCAAAUUUAAAAUCUGGUAGUCCUUGGCUGCCCGAGUUGUAAUCUAGAGAAGCAUACUCUGCGUUGGAUCGUGUAUAAGUGUCCUGGAAUGGUCCAUCAUAGAGGGUGAGAAUCCCGUCUUUGACACGAACCCCAAUGCUUUGUGAUGUGCUCUCAAAGAGUCGAGUUGUUUGGGAAUGCAGCUCUAAAUGGGUGGUAAAUUCCAUCUAAAGCUAAAUAUUGGCGAGAGACCGAUAGCGAACAAGUACCGUGAGGGAAAGAUGAAAAGAACUUUGGAAAGAGAGUUAAACAGUACGUGAAAUUGCUGAAAGGGAAACGCUUGAAGUCAGUCGCGUUGGCUGGGGAUCAACCUUGCUUGGCUUACUUCCCAGUUGACGGGUCAGCAUCAGUUUUGACCAGUGGAUAAAGGCUAGGGGAAUGUGGCACCCUGGUGUGUUAUAGCCCUUGGUCAUAUACAUUGUUUGGGACUGAGGAACUCAGCACUUGUGCUUAGGAUGCUGGCAUAAUGGCUUUAAGCGACCCGUCUUGAAACACGGACCAAGGAGUCUAACAUGACCGCGAGUGUUUGGGUGGAAAACCCGAGCGCGUAAUGAAAGUGAAAGUUGAGAUCCCUGUCGUGGGGAGCAUCGACGCCCGGACCAGACCUUUUGUGACGGAUCCGCGGUAGAGCGUGUAUGUUGGGACCCGAAAGAUGGUGAACUAUGCCUGA